UUAGUUCUAAAAUUCCUUUUUGUUUUAUUUUUUAAACUGGGUUCCAUUGUGUAGAUCAGGCUGACCUCAGUCUUAGACUCCUGUUGCUGCUGCCUCCCCAACACUGGGAUUAAAGGCAUGCAACACCACACCCAGUUCUUCUGAAAUAACAAAAAACUGUGGAAAGCUAUAAAUAACUAAAAGUAAAGAACAGAAAGGAACUACAAUGGAGACAUUUUUAGAUGUGCAGUCUUUAAGGGAUUUAAUUGGUUUGGGACUUUGGCUUUUAACAGAUUUUUGUUUUGAAACAGGGCCUUGCUAUGUAACUUCUUGUGUUACAAAUGCAGUCUCACAUGUGUGGACCCUCUAUCUCCACCCCACUCUGCUUUGUACUCAAAGCUAGCUGGCCUUCCAACUUUUGCUGGCCUUCCAACUUUUGGGAUCUCUUCUGAGUCCUGUAGAAGUGUUGGGGUUACAUUUAUAAAUAAAUGAAUAUUCUGUGCAUUUGACUUGUUCUCAUGCUUUCACAGCAAACAGAUUUACUCAUUAAGUCAUCUCUAGCCCUGUGCUGGUAACUUUUAUUAAAGCCUUCAAGGUUUCAUGAGUGACAGAUUUUUUUUUAAAAAAUAUUAAUUUAUGGUUCUAAGGAUUGAUCAUAGGACCUCACAAAUUAAGUGCUCUACCAGUGAACUACAUUCCAGCUUCCAAAUGAAAUUAUUUAUAAAAAAAAGUUUGUGUGUAUGUCUGUGCACCACAUGUGUGCCUGAUGCCCACAGAGGCAGACAUUCAUUGAAACUGAAGUCACCAAUGGUUGUGAGCCACCAUGUGGGUGCUGGGAAUCGAUCCUCUGGCUAAGCAGUAUCUCCAGCCCCACCAAAUGAAACUUGUAAAGAAUAAUUGUCAACCCUGUCCUCAAACAUGUAUCUUAACACUGGUGUAAAAAUCUUCCCCUUGGGCUUGGAGUGUAGAUAUCUGUAGUAGAUAUUUGCUUAUCGUGUAUGAGACCCUGAGUUUGAAACUCAGGAGCCUGGUGAAAAACAUUUGAAAAGCCCUAAUCUUAUAAAUAAAUAUGAUGGUUCAUACCUGUAAUCUAAAGCUUCUGCAGCCUUUAUAAAUGAUGUUGACUUGAGAUUGAUAAUGAACUAUCCAUGCCAUCUGCCAGUAACAACAUCUAUUAUUGUUAUUUAAACAUAUUUAGUGUUUCUGACUUUGAUAAGACAUUUAGGUGUCAAUGAGAUGGCACAAUGGGUAGAGUUACUAGUGUGAUGACCUGAAUUUGAUCCUGGAGUCCACAAUGUGGCAGAAGAUAAUCGACUCUUCUACUUUUGUGUAUAUGAGUAUUUUGUCCCCAUGUAUACAGGUGCACUGCAUUCAUGUAUGAUGCCUACAGAGGCCAGUGUUGUGGAUACCCUGGAAUUGGAGAUACAGAUAGUUCAGUUAGUGAGAGCUGGGAGCCAAAUUCAGGUCUUCUGCUAAGCUAUCUCUCCACCUCUUAGAACUGACUUUUGAGAGUUAUGUACUGACUUUUAUACAUGUAAUAUGGCAUACACAUGCCUGCCCUCACAGCACAUACCUACCCAAAAGCAGAAAAAUCUAAAAAGUUCUUGCCUUUGCCAUCUUUUGUGUGGCUCAGAAGGAGAAUAUUAAAACGAUCGAGGUUUUGUAACUAUUUUUAGCUUUUUUAUGAGAUUAAAGUUUAAUGUAUAAUGAAUGAUAUUAUUACCUGCAUGUUUCUACUUUUUGGUUAUGUCUUAAACUACCACUUGUGAUUAAAUCACCAUCAAAUUAUUUGACAUCUCUAGUUCUUUUAAUUUGUUCUCUGUUGCUUUAGUUUUAUAGACUGUCUUGCCAUGACUGGCUUGGUACCCACUCUAUAGCUCAAGUUGAUCUAGAAAUUCCCUUUUUCAGCCUGCCAAGUACUGGUAUCACAAUAUGAACAACACAUUCAGACUUAAAAAACAAUUUUUAAAGAUUUAUUUAUUUAUUUAUUUUAUAUGAAUACACUGUAGUUGUCUUCACACACACCAGAAGGGGUCAUCAGAUCCCAUUACAGAUGGUUGUGAGCUGCCAUGUGAUUGCUGGGAAUUGAACUCUGGAAGAGCAGCCAGUGCUCGUAACUGCUGAGCCAUUUCUACUGCCCAACAAAUGUGUGUGUGUGUGUGUGUGUGUGUGUGUGUGUUUUAAUAUUUAUUUAUUAUAUGUAAGUACACUGUAGCUGUUUUCAGACACUCCAGAAGAGAGCAUCAGAUCUUGUUACAAAUGGUUGUUAGCCACCAUGUGGUUGCUGGGAUUUGAACUCAUGACCUUUGGAAAAGCAGUCAGUGCUCAUAACCACUGAGCCAUCUCUCCAGCCCCAACAAAUGUGUUUUUAAGAAAUGAUUAUUUUAUAUAAUUGAGAACAUAACUUAAGAUGUGACAAUAAUGGAUACCUUUUAACAGUCGCCCCCCCCCCUUUGGCAUAUUUCAGUUCUUUUUUAAAGGUAUGAAGAAAUGUGUCAGACAAUGCCAGGUGUCUUCAGGAAUGCCUUAAAUCUUCUUGAUACCAGGUCUCAUUUGGCCUGACAUCACCGGAUUAGACUACAAUGGUUAGCUAAGCAAGACCCCCUUCUCUGAUUCAGUGCAGAGAUUAUAAACUCCUACCACUCUCUGCCCCAGCCUUUUUAAACUUUACCUCAGGGGAUUAAACUCAAGUUUUUGUGUUUGCAGGGCAAGCACUUUACUGUCUGAACAGUCAACCUAGACCUAGUAUUUUAAUU
rnacentral:lncRNA from 1 species